GUCUCGGGCCUGUGCAACAUGCCCUUCGAACCAUGUCAGGUCCGGAAGGAAGCAGCAUUAAGAAGGUUAGCGUGUGUGCCGCAGAUUCCCCGGGACCU
rnacentral:SRP_RNA from 1 species